ensembl:ncRNA Y60A9A.4 ncRNA
AAAAAGGAAGAAAUGCGCCAAAUGUGGCGAAGUAUGAUUUAUGCGUUUU